rnacentral:rRNA from 1 species
UACGGAGGGGCUAGCGUUGUUCGGAAUUACUGGGCGUAAAGCGCACGUAGGCGGAUCAGCCAGUCAGGGGUGAAAUCCCGGGGCUCAACCCCGGAACUGCCCUUGAUACUGCUGGUCUGGAGUUCGAGAGAGGCGAGUGGAAUUCCGAGUGUAGAGGUGAAAUUCGUAGAUAUUCGGAGGAACACCAGUGGCGAAGGCGGCACGCUGGCUCGACACUGACGCUGAGGUGCGAAAGCGUGGGGAGCAAACAGGAUUAGAUACCCCGGUAGUCCCU